AUUGAACGCUGGCGGCAUGCCUUACACAUGCCAGUCGAACGGCAGCACGGGUGCUUGCACCUGGUGGCGAGUGGCGAACGGGUGAGUAAUACAUCGGAACAUGUCCUGUAGUGGGGGAUAGCCCGGCGAAAGCCGGAUUAAUACCGCAUACGAUCUACGGAUGAAAGCGGGGGACCUUCGGGCCUCGCGCUAUAGGGUUGGCCGAUGGCUGAUUAGCUAGUUGGUGGGGUAAAGGCCUACCAAGGCGACGACCAGUAGCCGGUCUGAGAGGACGACCAGCCACACUGGGACUGAGACACGGCCCAGACUCCUACGGGAGGCAGCAGUGGGGAAUUUUGGGCAAUGGGCGAAAGCCUGAUCCAGCAAUGCCGCGUGAGUGAAGAAGGCCUUCGGGUUGUAAAGCACUUUUGUCCGGAAAGAAAUCCUUGGCCCUAAUACGGUCGGGGGAUGACGGUACCGUAAGAGUAAGCAACGGCUAACUACGUG
rnacentral:rRNA from 1 species